GAAACAGGAGUUCCUGUUGUGUCUCAGCAGGUUACGAACCUGACUAGUAACUGGAUUGAACCCACAACCUCAUGGUUCCUAGUCAGAUUUGUUUCUGCUGUGCCACGACAGAAACUCCCUGUACAUUUGUUUAUAACAUGGUUUACUGGAUAUUUUAAGCCCACUGUUGAGACCUACUACUUAGAAAAAAGAUUCCUUUCAAGAGGAUUGCUGUUGGUCACCCAAGAGCUCUGGUGGACAUGUACUGUGAGAUUAAUGUUUUUUUUCCAUGCCUGCUAACACAGCAUCAUUCUCGGUCCAUGGGUCAAGUGGUACUUUCAACUUUCGAACCUUAUGAUUGAAGAAAUACAUUUAAUAAGGCUAUAGCUACCAUAUGCUAUGAUUCCUCUGUGGAUCUGGUGAAGUAGAGUCGCUCCUUAGAUAAUACAUUUUGACCUGUGUGAGUCUACUUCUAUGCAGAUGGUUUCAGUUGUAAAUACUACUGAACUGCACGAUUCAUGGUUGGUUGAAUCCAUGGAUGCUGCAGGCCAGCUGUAAGUUAUAUACAGUUUUGAUCUGUGUGGAGGGUCCUAACCCCCUAUUGUUCAAGGCCAACUGUAAAUUGAAAACCUUCUGGAAAUGACUCACCGUUCUAGAUUCCAUUAGGAACAUUUGUAAUUCAUGGGAAGAAGUCAGAUAGCCACCUUAAUGGAAGUUUAUGUUAGAAGCUGAUUCCAACCCUCAUGGAUGACUUCGAGAGGUUUAAGACUUCAGAGGAGGUGGUAAUUGAAGAUGUGAUGGAAAUAACAGGAGAACUCUAAUAAGAAGAGGAACUUGAUGUUGUGACUGAAUUGCUGUAAAUCUCAGGAUAAAACUUUAACAAAUGAAGAGUUGCUUCAUAUGGAUAAGCAAAUAAAGUGGUUUACUGAGAUGAAAUCUACUCCUGGUAAAGACACUGUGAAGAUUGUUGAAAUGGCAACAAAGGAUUUAAACUGAUACCUAAGCUUAGUUGGUAAAGUACUUGCAGAGCUUGAGAGGAUUGACUCCAGUUUUAUUUAUUUAUUUUUAUUUUAUUUUAUCUUUUUGCUUUUAAGGCCUCACUUGCAGCAUAUGGAAGUUUCCAGGCUAGGGGUCGAAUGAGUGUGGUGAGAUGGGAAAGAGGGAUCCACGUGGUUCAGAACAUAUUUCACAUCCAAGGCAGGUAAGAGAAAUAGGAACAAUGAUUUCUUUGAGCAGUAGAGGCAAGACAGCUGUUCCUAUAUUGGAAAAAAAAAUUUUUUUUUGGCCACACCUAUGGCAUAUGGAAGUUCCUGGGCCAGGAAUCAAAUCCCAGCCACAGCUGCUACCUGCACCAAUACCUGUGCUGGGCUGGGGAUUGAACCUGUGCCGCCCCAGUGACCUGAAUGGCUGCACCACACUGUGCCACAGUGGGAACUCGUGAAAAACUUUUAAUUAAAUCAGACACAAAAAGGCACUUUAGAAUGAAUCCACAUUUUUGACUUUUAAUCUUAGCAAAUGUCUAUUUAAGUCCUUUAUACAUCUUGUAAUAAAGUGACUGAGGUUAGUUACCCUCUGGCAAUAAAGAUGAUAAUUUGCAGUAAAGGAAAAAAAUUGAAUGAGAGGUAAGUUUGAUGAGGAGUUUGGGAAAGAGACCUGGGAUUUUCCCUACCUGAUUUUUGCUCUUUCCCUCUUUUUAUUCAUUUGUCAGCAGGUCAAGAUCAGAAUAUAAAGAGUGAAUGCAGUAAUAGACCCAUCCUUCUCAGGUGAAUUGAAAAGGUACAGAGUGCACAACGCUGUUAUUCCCUCUUGGGGUUGUUUUCUAGUGAGUCUCAAAGGUAUGCCGCUGUUGUUGGAAGUCUAGAGGGAAUUCCAUAUAUGCUUUAGAGUCUUUCUAGUUACAAAAUCGUGGUUUCUAACUCAUGGUCAUAAGUCUUGGUUUGUAAAUCUUGUACUGUGUGGGCAGUACUCCAAUAAAAUGGUAAAUUUCUUUUUUGCUAUCUGACUUUAAAUUUCCACUAAGUGAUUGAGUCUAUAAGCCUAUGAAAUAACACUGUAAGUUUCAGUUAUGCUAGAUGUAUACAUAAUAACUAAAUUUAGAUAUAAACCUGAAAGCAAAUUGAUUUAAUAGGAGCAAAAUGUUUUAAGAGUAUGAAACUUCUUCUACACCUUUUGUGAUAUCAAUGAAGGCAAAUGCUCUGUAUCUUUGAGCGAGGUCCCCCUCUUGUUCAUGCUUUCAUGGGUCACCCUCCCUUCCCCUAUGCCCUUUUCUCUGUUUCUAUGCUAGACACACCAAUUAACAAUCCCUUGUUAUUUCAAUAAUUUUACUGUUGGGAAACAGGCCCACAAUACCAUGUGUGAAGCAUUGAUUUCUGUUUUUUUUUUUUUUUUUUUUUUUUUUUUGCUUCAUUCUCAUCACCCAUGCUUGUUAAUUCUCUCUCUCUCUUUCUCUUUCUGUCUCUCCCAUAUUGGGACAUACACCCACAAAACUACUUAGAAAGUGGAUGCUUUAACAAGAAGGAUUUCAAGGAUUAGGUGUAUCCAGCAGUGUAAUCCUGAAUUGAUGGGAUAAACAGUGACCAGGUUUCAGGUCUGAGAUUCGUGGCGUGUUUAGUUUCUUCUUCAGCUCUUGGAACCCCUGGGAAUGCGAAGUGCCUGCGGCUGUAUGCCCCUGCCUCCCCUGAUACAUGAUGGACAAUCAGUACCUAGUUGUAGUGGAUGAAUGAAUGAUUACUCAACUACCUGUCUUGCUUGACAAAGGGAGUUAAAGUUAUGCUACAAGGUUUCACCAUAUUCAUCUAGGAACAGAAAACAGUAACUGGUUUUGAACCUAGAAGUGUUUUCAUCCAGAAAAGGGUUAAAUCUGAUUAUAUUAUCAUAUGUCUCCAGGUCAGUAAGACUUACCUCACAGGUCUUAUUAUGUAUGAGCAUUGAGUUGAUACAUCAAAAACAUUUAGCAAGUGCCUGGUACAUAGUGACAUUCAGUAAAUACUAGCUAUUAUUCUUAUUAUCAUUAUUAAGAGAGAGAAAGUGAUAAGACUGCUUCUCAGUUCUCCCCUAGAGCAAAUAGUCCUUACUUCCUAGGGUUGCGUUUGCUUUGUGAGAAAAAGGCAGUAAGUUCUCUUAGGUACAUGGUACAUGGAUGGCUGUUUUGAAAUAUAAAGUCGAUCAUGUCAUAGGCCUCCUUAAUACCCUGCAAAGGCAGGCCAUUGCUUUCAGAAUAAAAUUGGAGAUCUUUAGCAUGGCAGGUAAGGCUUCUCAUGAUCUGAUCUCUUAGUUUAAUCUCAUCCAGUUUCAUAAACCUAUCCUUACCCACAGUCCCUUAUUGGAAUUUGGGCUAUGUGUCCCCAGCUCUGUGCGCCUACAAUAUUCUGAGAUUAGGUUGGCUUCCAUGUUUGUCUCCCCAAACACUGAUAGUUUUGGAGCUAUACAUUCACUGUAAGAAUGACUCAUUUCUACCAGGGUAGCACAAAAGCAGCCGUAGACCAAAUGCAAAGGAAUGAAUGUGACUGUGUUCCAGUAAAAUUUGUUUAUAGACACUAAAAUUGGAAUUUCAUAUGAUAUUCAUGUAUCAUGAAAUAGUAUUCUUCUUUUGAUUUUUUUUCAUCUACUUAAAAAAGUAAGACUUGUUCUUAGUUUGCAGGCCAUACAAAAUCAGGUAGCAGGCACAAUUUGGUCCGUGCAUUGUUGAUUUAUCCCUGAUCUAGCAAAAUGCCUGGCGUAGCCAUGGUGCUCAGCCAGUACCUUUGAGUGCGGACUGACACUCACUGACACAGGUAACUGACUUUCUCUGAAAACACGGUGCCUAUUCCUACCUGUAGGCCAUGUGUCUUGCAUCUUUCUUUACUGAGAAUGUCCUUUUCUGUUUUCAUUUAUUUUAAUUUUCUGCUUAGUGAGCUGUUAUUUGUUCUUCAAGAUAGAUCAAUUCUUCAAAAUAGAAUCCAGCUCUUCUCCAAGAGGAAAAGAAGAGAUGGAGCCUUUGGUGAAUUCACGUCCCUCUGGGUUUCUAUGGAAUUUUGUAUAUGUCUUUAGUGAAGCACUUGUCAUACUGUAAUAUAAUAAUUAAAAUUAAUUAUCCUUGAGUAUGUUGCUCUUUUUCAUCAUGUUCUGAAGUCAUAUUAUAUACUUAGUGCCAGUGAAGAAUGUGGCAUUUGUGGUCAUUUAGGAACAACUUAAUAAAAUGAGCUAUUUUUAUAUAGAUAAAUUCCCAAUAUCCUAGUGACACUGUUGAGCAUCAAUUUAAUCUACAUUGAUAAGACUGUCUUUCAAUUUUGAUAGUGAGGUAACCUCAGUAUCUAACAUUGAAAUGAAUAUAAUUAAAAUGAAUAAAAAUGUUAAGUAUUAUCAAAAAAUUAAAAAUGAUUAAGUUGGAAACUCAAGAACUAAAAGCAUUGUGUGUGGCAUAAAACAUCAGUGUACUAACUUAAUUUCAAACUUAGUUGAACUGAAAUCUCUAGAUGAAUUUAAAAAUGCUGUCUUUAAGCCUUGCUUGGUUUUGUGUGGAUAAAUGGCAAUAUUAUUUCACCAUAUACAUAUAUUGCUAUUCUUUCCUGGAAAGAUGGAGCACACUGAUAGUACUAGAGAUUUCAUGGUGAAAUGUAAAGGAUUUUGACUAAUGAUUAUGUUAUUUCAUAUAAGGGAACUGCUUUCAAAAGUUUACUUUGAUACAAGUUUGCCUAGAAGAGAUAGCAGACAUUUGGAAAUAUAAUGAUAGUGUCAGAUGUGUUCUUAUAAAUUCUCCCAGACAUUUUAUAGAUGCUCAGUACUUACUGUGGGAAUAACCAGUGCCUUAUAUCAUGCAUCUCCCUGUUUCCCCGGGGAAAUUUCCUGCGUUCUCCCAAAUUAUAAGAUUUGCCAUUGAGAUCAGCGUUAUGGGUAGAUAUCACCAUAAAUAUCUUAGGAGAUCUUACUAGAAACUGAAGGCACAUUGCCAUGUGAGAUGAAUAAGAAGCUUUUCAUUAUUGAUCGUUUAUUUUCAUUUGUUCUAAUUAUAGAAGAUAGUACUGAGUUUGGUAGUUUAAGUUGUCAUUAUAAACAGAAUGUCUGAAUGCAGACCUUUCUUUUUCUUUUUUUUCUUUUCUUUUUUUUUUUUAGGGCCGCACUCGUGGCAUAUGGGAGUUUCCAGACUAGGGGUUGAAUCAGAGCUCCAGCUGCUGGCCUAUACCACAGCCACAGCAAUGUAGGAUCCAAGUCACAUCUGUGACCUACACCACAGCUCACGUUAAUACCGGAUCCCUGACCCACUGGGAGAGGCCAGGGACGGAACCCAUAUCCUUGUGGGUACUAGUCGGAUUUGUUUCCGCUGUGCCACAAUGGGAAUGCCCCACACAUUAUUCUUUUAUUGAGAAUAAUCAUUGGAAGUCAGCAUGUGUUCAGUUGGCACAGGUGUUUAUCAAAUAUAUGCUGUAUUAAUGUAUUAAUGUGGGGAAAAAAGGAGCAACUGUGCUUGGGUAAACUUGUUCAAAGUCAUAUUUCGUAGAGAAGAAAAAGUCAAAUUGCAUUUAUUGGACAAAACAGUGAUUGUGAAUGUAGCAAUAUACAAAACAAGGACAUUUCACACCAAACCCUUAUCCUCAGUCCAUUGGUGAGUUGCCUUAAUUUUAAGAUAAAAUAUAUUUUCUUAGAAUUUCACUGGAUUAAGGAGUUCCUAUUGUGGCUCAGAGGUAAAAAACCCAGCUAGCAUCCAUGAGGAUUCAGGUUCAAUCCCUGCCUCGAUCAGUGGGUUCAGGAUCUGGUGUUGCCGUGAGCUUUGGUGUAGGUCGCAGACGUGGUUCAGAUCCCAUGUUGCUGUGGCUGUGGCGUAGGCUGGCAGCCACUGUUCUGAUUUGACCCCUAGCCUGGGAACUUCCAUAUGCUGAACAUGCAGCCUUAAAAGCAAAAAGCAAAAUAAAUAAUAAAUAAAUACAUUCACUGGAUUAAGCAUCUUUAUAGUAGAAAUCGUGUCAAUUUAGAUAGUGUGUGUAAAAAAUUAGUGUUCCUGGAGUUCCCGUCGUGGCGCAGUGGUUAACGAAUCCGACUAGGAACCAUGAGGUUGCGGGUUCGAUCCCUGCGCUUGCUCAGUGGGUUAAUGAUCCGGCGUUGCCGUGAGCUGUGGUGUAGGUUGCAGACACGGCUCGGAUCCCACGUUGCUGUGGCUCCGGUGUAGGCUGGCAGCUACAGCUCCGAUUGGACCCCUAGCCUGGGAACCUCCAUAUGCCGCAGGAGCGGCCCAAAGAAAUAGCAAAAAGACAAAAAAAAAAAAAAAAAAAAAAAAA
rnacentral:lncRNA from 1 species